rnacentral:misc_RNA from 1 species
AACUUUCGGCAAUGGAUCUCUUGGUUCUGGCAUCGAUGAAGAACGCAGCGAAAAGCGAUAAGUAAUGUGAAUUGCAGAAUUCAGUGAAUCAUCGAAUCUUUGAACGCACAUUGCGCCCGCUAGUACUCUAGCGGGCAUGCCUGUUCGAGCGUCAUUUCAACCCUCAAGCCCCCGGGCUUGGUGUUGGGGAUCGGCCGCCGUUAAACCGGUGGCCGGCCCCGAAUUAUAGUGGCGGUCUCGCUGUAGCCUCCUCUGCGUAGUAGCACACCUCGCACCGGAACGCAGCCUGGCCACGCCGUAAAACCCCAACUUCUGAAUGUUGACCUCGGAUCAGGUAGGAAUACCCGCUGAACUUAAGCAUAUCAAUAAGCGGAGGCU